rnacentral:tRNA from 1 species
GGGGCGUUGGCGCAGUUGGUAGCGCGGCUGCUUUGCAAGCAGCAGGUCACCGGUUCGAGCCCGGUACGCUCCA